GAUGAACGCUGGCGGCGUGCCUAAUACAUGCAAGUCGAGCGAACCGAUGAGGAGCUUGCUCCUCUGACGUUAGCGGCGGACGGGUGAGUAACACGUGGAUAACCUACCUAUAAGACUGGGAUAACUUCGGGAAACCGGAGCUAAUACCGGAUAAUAUAUUGAACCGCAUGGUUCAAUGGUGAAAGACGGUUUUGCUGUCACUUAUAGAUGGAUCCGCGCCGCAUUAGCUAGUUGGUAAGGUAACGGCUUACCAAGGCAACGAUGCGUAGCCGACCUGAGAGGGUGAUCGGCCACACUGGAACUGAGACACGGUCCAGACUCCUACGGGAGGCAGCAGUAGGGAAUCUUCCGCAAUGGGCGAAAGCCUGACGGAGCAACGCCGCGUGAGUGAUGAAGGUCUUCGGAUCGUAAAACUCUGUUAUUAGGGAAGAACAAAUGUGUAAGUAACUAUGCACGUCUUGACGGUACCUAAUCAGAAAGCCACGGCUAACUACGUG
rnacentral:rRNA from 1 species